rnacentral:rRNA from 1 species
UGAGGAAUAUUGGGCAAUGCCCGAAAGGGUGACCCAGCAACGCCGCGUGGAGGAUGAAGGUCGUAAGAUUGUAAACUCCUGUUAGAGGGGAAGAAUAACUAAGUUUGGAGCUUAGUAUGACUGUACCCUCAGAGAAAGCCCCGGCUAACUACGUGCCAGCAGCCGCGGUAAUACGUAGGGGGCAAGCGUUGUCCGGAUUUACUGGGUGUAAAGGGCGCGCAGGCGGAAUGGAAAGUCAGUGGUGAAAUCCUACAGCUUAACUGUAGAACUGCCUUUGAUACUUUCAUUCUUGAGUUCGGGAGAGAGAGACGGAAUUCCAGGUGUAGUGGUGAAAUACGUAGAUAUCUGGAAGAACACCAGUUGCGAAGGCGGUCUCUUGGUCCGAUACUGACGCUGAGGCGCGAAAGCGUGGGGAGCAAACAG